GAUGAACGCUGGCGGCGUGCUUAACACAUGCAAGUCGAACGAAGACAUCUGAGUGCUUGCACUUGGAUGGACUGAGUGGCGGACGGGUGAGUAACGCGUGGGUAACCUGCCUUAUACAGGGGGAUAACAGUUGGAAACGACUGCUAAUACCGCAUAAGCGCACGGUAUCGCAUGAUACAGUGUGAAAAACUCCGGUGGUAUAAGAUGGACCCGCGUCUGAUUAGCUUGUUGGUGAGGUAACGGCCCACCAAGGCGACGAUCAGUAGCCGGCCUGAGAGGGUGAACGGCCACAUUGGGACUGAGACACGGCCCAAACUCCUACGGGAGGCAGCAGUGGGGAAUAUUGCACAAUGGGGGAAACCCUGAUGCAGCGACGCCGCGUGAGUGAAGAAGUAUUUCGGUAUGUAAAGCUCUAUCAGCAGGGAAGAAAGUGACGGUACCUGAAUAAGAAGCCCCCGGCUAACUACGUGCCAGCAGCCGCGGU
rnacentral:rRNA from 1 species